GUUCAUCUUAAAAAUAAGGUCAUUUUACCAGCAUGUUGAAAUUGCCUUUUUAUGUCAUGUCCUUCAAAAUAGAUCUGAGUUUACAAAGAGAAAAAGUGAGUGAAUCCUUGCCUUAGAGGUAUUCAGUGUGUGAAUACCUUUUCCUUCCAGUUAGUUUUGGCUGAUGAGAUACAACAGCAGUGGGUUAAAGGACAGGAGGGGACUGAAUCAGGGCACUUAUUCUUUUAGAAUUCCUUCUUCACCACUCCUGGAUAGGUAUUGUCUGGGUUCCUCUAUCCUUUGCCGUUGGUUCACCCUCCAAUGGCUGCCGCGGCCGGCGCGCUGCGGCCGGCGCACCGCGCUGAUCCAAUGGCAGGAGCCAGGUGCUUCUCCUGGUCUCCCAUGGGGUGCAGGGCCCAAGCACUUGGGCCAUCCUCCACUGCACUCCCUGGCCACAGCAGAGAGCUGGCCUGGAAGAGGGGCAACCGGCACAGAAUCCAGCACCCAGACCGGGACUAGAACCCGGUGUGCUGGCGCCUCAAGGCAGAGGAUUAGCCUAGUGAGCCGCGGCACCGGCCACUGCUUGGACUCUUGAAACCUUUCCUAUUUAAAACUAUUUGAUGAAUGAAAUAGACCCAGAAAUCUACUGGGAUAAUUUGUAUUUCUUUUUCCUUGCAGUUAAUGCCCAAACUCUUUCAUGUCCCUUAAAUAUAUUGCUAAGUAUUACUCGUUUAAUAAACACUUUUAGCUAAAAAAAAAAAAAAAAAAAAAAAAAAAAAAAAAAAAAAAAAAAUCACUGCUUAGGCCAAGCAGCCUACUUCUCCAGCUGCAGCUCUUUCUCUGGAUGUCAGUAUCAACUCCCUCUUUCUCCCUUCAGGUUUAAGGAAAACGUAAAGGUUCCUUCUAUAUCUAGGCUACUUCAGUCUACCUCAUUGGUUUUCCUUAAAUCAGCCCUGACAUUCACAAUUAGCUCAUUUAUUAAACUCACCCAACCACCUGUGUUUCAGUCAUUUCCUAUGAAAUCUAUCUUGGAAAAGUGGUGUUCAGAAUUUGGAGACUCAUAAAUGCCUUGAAAUGUACCCCUAUGAGUUACUCAACACUUGGGUUAAUGUUCGAAAACCAUAUUACAAUGGUUUGAAUAAAUAUUUACAUAGUCUCUGUGCUAAGUAGGACCAAGAUCUGAGGCUGAACUCAUUGAUAAAGUCUGUUAGAAAAAGCCAUUAUGCUGGAUUAAAUCAAUUGAAAAAGCAUUGUUUUCAGUAGCAAAAAAAAUUAAAAUAGUUUGAGUUUCCACCAAUAAUAAAAUGGUUGGAUAAAUUUUAUAUCACAUCUAUAACAGGAAUCUAUUGAAGAAUAAGUUAUAUCUAUAGUUAUAGAUAUUGGAAGUGUAUCAGUGAGGUAUUGUUAAGUGAGAAAAGAUUUGCAGAGUAACAUGGAAUACACAAUCUCAUUUUUUAUAAAAAGAAAGAACUAUACAUAUAUGGUCAUAGUUUUUAUACAUAUGCAAAAACUGUAGAAAACAUACUAAAUUAUUAACAUUACUUAUCUCUGGGAUCAUUGGUGUAGAAGACAUUUAUUACUAUUUACAUAACUGCAAUUGUGCAGUGAAUGUAGUCUGAAAUGGUAUUGUAAUUUUAUAGAGAAAUUCAAUAAGGAAAUUUUAAAGAAAAAACAAAACGUAUCUUCAAGCCUAGAGUUACUCCUGAAAUCUUUGGACCAGAAAUGGUGUCUCCACAAGCUUGCUUCACUGGCCUCAGUGCUGCAUAGAAUAUAAGCUAAGAAAUGCUCAUCUAUUUGGAUAAGUAGGUGAUUACAGAAUCACCAUGAAAUUAAGAUUGGGUUAAUGUAAAGUAGUGUAGCUAGUUUUCUUUUAUAUCAACAUGUUUUCCAAUUACCAAAAAUUUGGUACUGAUAAAUCACUAUUAUUUUGGUCUUACCUUUUGACAUGUACAGUAUACAAGUGUAAUUCAAAAUGUGCAUGAAAAACUGAAAUUGAAAUAAAUUUAUUUUGGUAUAAAAUUUUGAAAUCCAUGAAUAUUUUUUCAGAAUAUGCAUUUUCCAUGAACCUCUUUUUUCUGUGAAGUAAUUUCAUCUUUGUAGCCCUAGCUUGCAUUUCACCUCCUCUUCCAUCCACCAUGAAACAACCACUAUUGCCAAAAAAUGCAGUCUCCAAUUUGGCCUAGGCCUGAGCUUGACCUCCAGUCCUGACCCAAUAACUAGUAAAAGGGAAAUAGCUAUGAUGAUGACUGAUUGAAAUCAUUCUAGAGCCAGUGGAGUUCAUCGGUCCCAAAUCACAGGACAUCAGUGGUUGAUUCGUGGACAUACUCAUGUCCUAAACUGAUCACAGGUAAGAAAAGUACUUCAGUUUGAUGGUGGGGAGAAGAUUCCUUCUUUCAUUUCUGGCUGUAAACAACAAAGUACUUGUCCCCAAUUACUGCCAACAACCAUCUUAAUUAAUAGGAGGAUUUUAUAAUUAUGUUAAUGCCUUGGGAAAGAAGGAAGCAGAGUAAUAAAAGUAAUGGUUGCUUCUCUCAUUGAAUCACUGAAUCAAAACUGGCCCAGAAUGUACCCAAACACUGGAUUUUUACAGUUAUGUAAUCAAUGUUUUCUUUAUUACACUAAAUUUUUUUAAGAAUUCAUUUUAUUUAUUUGAAAGGCAGAGUUAGAGAGACAGAGGGAGGGAGGGAGGAAAAGAGGGAGGAAGAGAAAAAAGAGAUCUUCUGUCUGGUGGUUCAUUCCCCAAAUGACUGCAAGAGCCAGAGCUGGGCCAGGCUGAAAGCAAGAGCCAGGAGCUUCUUCUGGGUUUCCCACAUGGUUGCAGGGGCCAAAGCAUUUGGGCCAUCUUCUGCUUCUUUCCUAGGCACAUUAGCAGGGAGCUGGAUAAGAAGAGGAACAGCCAGGACUCAAAUCGACACACGUAUAGGAUACUGGCAUUGUAGGCAGUGGCUUAACCCACUACGCCACAAUGCCAGCCCCUAUUACACUAACUGAAGUUUAUUUUUCUGUUAUAUGUCACCAAAAAAACUCUUUUAAAAGAACCCCUCCCUUCAUUAUUUAAAAAAAUCAAAAUUGUAUUUCCCCCUAUAGAUAUUACUACUAAGAAACCUCUGACAUCCUGCAAAUCACCUUGAUGAACGUGCCCCACUCACAGGAAGCAAAGAAGAACUAAAACUUGGGCCAGCAAAAGACCAGUAUGAAUGGUUGCUACCAGGGGCUGGAGUUGAGGAAAUGGUUGUCAAAGCAAAAUCUCAGCAGAGUGGACAGUGAGAGAAAGAGACAGAGAGAAAGGUCUUCCUUUGCCGUUGGUUCACCCUCCAAUGGCCACCACAGCUGGCACGCUGCAGCCGGCGCACCGUGCUGAUCUGAUGGCAGGAGCCAGAGUAACAGAGAAAGAGAGAGAGACAGAGAAAGAAAGAGAUCUUCCAUUCUCUGGUUCACUCUUCAAAUGGCCACAGGAGCCAGGUCAGAACCAGGCCAAAGUCACAUACCAAGAACUCCAUCCUGGUCUCCCAGAUGGGUUAUAGGGAUACUUGGGCCAUCAUCUGCUGCUUUCCCAGGUACAUUAGCCAGGAGCUGGAUCAGAAAUGGAACAGAAGGGACUUGAACUGGCAUUCUGAAAUGGGAUGUUGGCGUCUCAAAUGGUGGCUAAAACUGGUGAGUGAGAACACCUGCCCCAGUACUAGCUAUUUUGUAAUAUUUGAGUAAAUGUUGGAAACUUUCUUGACUUGUGCAUGCUUCAGCAUCCUCAUCUAACUAGAGAUAAUAAUGAACACCCAACUUUUAGGGCUGUAAGGCUUUGGCCAAGUGAUUUCCAGAACUCGUUCAAGGGAGCCUUACACUCAGGAGCUAUGAGCGCUAAAGGUGUAAGAAUAGCAGAAGCAGUAAUAGCAACAGGUAGCCCAACUGAACUAGUUAAAAAUCAGGUAAAAAUAAUUUCCAGAUGAUGAACACAGCUGCAGGGAAAUAGAGUUUAAGACUUAUUCAGCCUUUUUAAGGGGUCUAUACUGAAUAUUAUAUUUUCUUGACUAAGAUUUUGCUAAUUCUUGCACAUUAUUGAUAAUAACUUUGCCCAUCACAUCUGUAGACAAUCAGAUCAAGGGCAAAACCUUCCAGCCCAAGACUCAAGCACUCUUUUCUCCCCUCCGUUACAUGCUGAAAUUGCUUUUCCAGUCUCCUAAUACCAUAAACAUGCACACAGAGGCUUAUUGAGAUAUAUUUUGUGCAUGAGAGUGGGAAAAAAAAAAAGAAACAUUACUUAAGAUCAAACAUUGUUUUCAAGUCUAGGUUAGCAUUCCUGGAAAAUUCAUUCACAGUAUUUUUCAAGCAGGUUAAAAUCUCCAAGCUGUGACCAAACAGUGUGCCAAGAACAUGGUCAGACAGACAGGCUUGGAAAACUGGAGAGGAAGGCUUGUUUCCAAGGAAAAGUAUAGCAUAGUCACAGCUGGCAUCCCAGCAUGAGGGGCUUUGUGAGUAAGACCAUGUCUUGGAGACGGGUUUGGGGCCUGGAGCUAGAUCACUAUCGGAGCACGGUUUGGGUGCUGUGUGGUGCUUUUAAGGAGUCACUCCUUUCCACUUCUUCAUUUAAAAAAAUUGCUUCACUGUGGCACUUUUGCCUCCAUCAAAACUUGGUAAAACUUUUGAAUUGGAAUCAGUAGAGGUAGCACAUCUCUGUGCUGUAUUGUUUGGUUCUGUUCUUUCUAUUGUAGUCAACACUCUGAUUCCCAGGACAAAUGUCCCUAAAACCUGUGAAUUGUAUAGACUUUCCAAGUAAUAAUAUGCUUCCUCUUCAUCUUGGAGUCCUUUGGAGAAAGUUAAAGGACUGAACAGAAGUAUUGAGGGGCCUUUCUUUUCCAAGAUCCACCACAGAAAGGAACUGGGUUUCAGAUUUGGUAAAUAGAGCAGGUCUUACUAAGAAGCAAUGUGAGCUCGAACUUGACUAAUCCUCCCUAUCUGGAAAGCCAAACUUUUGUCUUCAACAUGAUAUAAAAAACAGAGCAUUGAGAUUUAGAAAGAAAGAGACUCGGAUUUGACCUCCGAUCUUCUCAUUACUACCUAUGUAAUUUGUGGUGGAAAGGUUAAAACUCCUUUUCACUUUCAUCAUCCGUAAAGUGAAAAUAAUACAAAUGGUUUCAUAGCAUUAUGUAGCUCAAAUGAGAGGGUAGAUGGUUCUCCUUUGCAAAGGCAAACACAAGGCGCCUGAUUAACUUUAAAAUGGUUCUAAUCAUUACUCAUUAUACUUUCCACUUGCAUUGAGACCUAUAAAAUACCUUUAAGAAUAGCACUUUAGCAACGUCAAUCAUUGCAUUUUUUUUUUUUUGACAGGCAGAGUGGACAGUGAGAGAGAGAGAGACAGAGAGAAAGGUCUUCCUUUUGCCAUUGGUUCACCCUCCAAUGGCCACCGCGGCUGGCGCGCUGCGGCCGGUGCACGGCGCUGAUCUGAUGGCAGGAGCCAGGUACUUAUCCUGGUCUCCCAUGGGGUGCAGGGCCCAAGCACUUGGGCCAUCCUCCACUGCACUCCCUGGCCACAGCAUAGAGCUGGCCUGGAAGAGGGGCAACCGGCACAGAAUCCGGUGCCCCGACCGGGACUAGAACCGGUGUGCCGGCGCCACAAGGUGGAGGAUUAGCCUAGUGAGCCGCUGCGCAGGCCAAUCAUUGCAUUUUAAUGUGAAUAAAGAAGGUAAAUAAGGAAGAAGACAUGACUGAAGAAGGGUGCUUAGAAAGAGAAAAAGAGCCUAGGAGUCUUAAUAUUAUCUUUCUCUGCUUCAAAACACUAGUUAAACUUUUCCUCCUGACUCUUUCAUGCUGCUAUUGGGUUAGCCUUCUCUUCCCCAGCAGAGAAAUAUAGCAGAUAUAGACUUUUGUUUAGGAAAAUGUAUAUUUAUUGUAUUGCAUGCUAAGUGCCAAGCUUUGUGAUAAGUGUUGGGGCUAUAACUAACAGACUUGUCAAAACGCCCUUUGGGUGAUUACAAUCCAUGGAAGCAGUUGGCAUCACCUAGAGAAGAGGACCAGGGACAAUGCCUUGAGAUCAAGUACAUGUAAGAAACUGGAGGAAGAUGAAGAGAGAGCUAUAGCUAAGUAAGAAGAGGUGGGAAGAGAGGGCAUAAGAGCACAAGUGAGAAACAGUCUCAGGCAAGAGAAGGGUAGUCUUCUCCAUUGAUAAAGCUAAUUCCCAGUUAUUGAAUAGAUGGCUUUUUGCACUUACAGUUUGUGAAAACUGGACUAGGCCCUGACAACUUGUCACUGAAAAAAUUAAAAUUGUUACAGAUUGGGCUUUCCAGGAAGCAACUUUAAUAGGGAGAUCAAUGUAGAGGAGGUUUAUUAUGAUCAACACAUGAUUAGGGAGAAGCUAGAAUCAGGAUUGGGCAGAGAGAGGGGUCAAACUGCAAUGCACCUGCAAAGAGAGCCUCAGAAACCCCACAGGGAUCUCUGUAGCUAGAAUGGCCCUUCAGAAUUGUCCACACUUGGGCGGAGACAGUUGCAUGGACUAGUCACUGUAGAGGAUGACCCUGAAAGAUGGUACUGGCAAGGUAGCUCUCUGUUGCUGAUGGAGUCACAAAAGAAGCUGCUUGCUGAAGGCUGUCUACCCACAGCACCCCCAACAUCUAUGGAACCAAGUGCAUCAUUGACAAAAGAUUGGAAAGACAUUACAGUGCAUACCCCAAAAAACAAUGCAGUCCCUUGUUCCUGCAGGACACAGUAUCUCCCAAGGUACAGAUAUUAAACUAUGAAGCCAGCAGGUGGCAGCAUCAUAAUUCAGGUCAGUCGGAUUGAAGUAGGAUUUGUUGAGUCAGGGUCCUUGAAGGCAAACUGAAAGGGACUGCAGCUAUCUAAAGUAAAAAAAAAAAGGGGGGGGGGCGGAGUUUAAGGAAGGGCAUGGACUAACUCAGGUAGUAGAAAGAAAAGUCCAAGAAACAAGGUCAUAAAUGAACAGGAAUAGUGAACAGAGAGUAGGUGUCCAGAAGCUCAACUGUAGGAACAGUCUGGAUUGGGUGUCUCCAGUGACCCUAGGAGACACUGGUGUCAACAUCUCAGCCUCUGGAAUGAAUUUUUAUCUGUGCAGUGCUAUUGUGUAUCACUGGUUCCAAAAUGAGAGGCUGAGGCAGGAGCAUCUGGCCUUUCAGGCAUCUGUAGUGAGAGGUGAGGUCCUACCCACCACCUCAGCUCUGCAGAUACAGAGUCCCAGGCAGAAAAAGAUUCAGAUACUGCACUGAUUAAAAACAACAACAAGAAUACAUAAAGGCAAAGUCUUGGCCAUCAACUUGACUUAGUGCUCAUGGGAAGGAGUUAAUUAGGGUUAUGCAGAUUAUGGGGCCUCUAAGCACAUGAAGGAGGUUGACACAGUGGGCUGAUAAAACAGACAAAACAAACACUGAAGACCAGACCAUAACUUGGGCUCGGUACCUAUGAGAAGGGGUUAGGGAAACUCAAGCAGAUACUGGGCCCAGCUGGAUAGAUGUGGUGUUGACAGAAGGCUCUAGUCCCAGCAGACUGACAUGCGCUCAGGAAACCAAAGCUGAGCCUCCGAUGGAAGAUGGGGAUUAGAGAGGAGAGCUGGAGUGCAGAAAGGUGGAGAGAUGCCCAUCAUCCACCCCAGUACAACCUUGGCAACAAGAUGAAUCCCAAGUCCUUUUCAGUGGUAAGGGUUGGCCCUUCAAAUGUAGCCACGUUUGGUCUGAACUGGCAGAGGCACUAAGUAAAGGCUCAAUCUGUGAGCUGAAAGUUUUCUAGUCCAGUGACGGAAUGGGGCUGGAAAAAGUAAUACCAGGAGGAUAAAUAACCCAGAAGGAGUUUUCUUUUCUUUAUCUCCUCCAGGGCCCUCCCCCAAAGAGAGGAAAAGGCAAGUAAUGUUUAUUUGGUGCCAACUAUACGAAACACUGUGCUACUCUAAAGCCUCAAAACAAGAUCUGUUAUUCUCAUUUUUCCCGUUGCAGAAGCUGAAUAUCACAGAUGUUAAUAACUUGUCCUGAGUCUUAGAGAUUUAGAAUUCGAGUCUAUUCAUCCCCAAGCAAAACACAUUCAUGUUCUGUUGUCUGUACUCUUAUCAUCACUUGCUUUAUUCUCGGUUCCUUAUCCUAGCUUUACUGCAACAGCCACAUUGUGUUUUUAGAAUCAUGCUCCUCAAACUGGAAUUUAUCUUCUCAUCAUAAUACGUCAAGGGGUAUCUGAGGUCACAGGCUUAGCAUAAAGCACUUUCUGGAAUGGAAAAUUUAUUUGAGAAUUGUUCAGGUUACUGGUACAUGGAGGAUUCACUUAAUUGGUUCAGGUUUAAUGUAGUGUUGUAUGAAAGCAAGCAUAGAGGUAUUUAAGGUAUAAAUAUUUAAGAGAAAAUAAGUAAUGUUGAAGAAAUCUCAAGUCAAUGUGUUCAACCCUACAAAUCCCUCUGAGAUAUGUGCGCAUGUUUCUCUGUCAUUGGGCUACAUGAAUAGAUAAUUUUAUAAACGCUAACUGUGAGAAGAAAGCCUGGAGAAAACUCAGGUAAUGACGCCACCACCUCUCAAGACCACUCCCAGCAUCAGACUGCAGGCUUCAUUCUGGAAGUUCUCCUCUUGGGGGGAGGUGAUGUGCUAAUGACCAUUCAGAAAUGCUCUGGCAGGAGACAUCACUAAAUAAAACUGGCAGCCUUUAGAAAGCAUGGAAACUUCUAGAGACAAUAGAACAAGUCAGAAGCCCAGGAGUAAAGGGGAAAUAAUGAGAUGAGCUAGAGCAAAGGAAAAUUUUGGCAUGGGGUUGGGAAAAUGUCCAAGGAGUAAGAACUGUUAGAUGACCGACUCAUCAGGACAGGAAAUGAGGAGUCCCCGACACGUAGCUCAUCAAACCCAAUAGGAUUCAGGCGGCCUCCUCUGCAGGGAACAUUGAACUGACUCCGGAAGGGUAGGAUGGCCAAGCAGGUCAUUUUCAGCUCCUAUUUCAGUUACUCUAUGGAACAGGAUGAUUCAAACCGUAUGGCUUUAAAGCCACUCUUCAUUUCGGUGGUUUGGUUGUUUGGGUUCUUUUAAGGCACCACGUGACAAAGGCCCUUGUGACAAAACAAAGCACUCUCACAAAGCAAGUUUGUUUCAAACCUAACCCCCUUAUCUUCUCUUCCCCAUGCAUGUAAAGUAAUGUGCUUUCUUUUAGAACUUGUUCCAGGGUAAACUGGAUUGAUGUAGUGCUUUAUGGAAACUGUGUGCCAAAGAACAGAAGAAUAAUGAGAGAUCCCACACUGGGUCAGAUCGAAUUUCAGGGCAGCCUGGGGUUCUGAAGCUGACAGUGGUACCCAGGGAUAUGUGGUUAAAAACACAUUGGUUGUUGUUAACCUCAAAAGGACAGGGAAGAGCCCCAAGUGGACAAAUAUGCCUAUCUGUGGGCAGCAAGUUUUACAAUGUCUUGCUUCAUCUCCAGAGUGCAGUAAAAAUGGCCUGGGCUUUAGGAGCAGAGAAAAUGGGAUUCUGGCUUACCCCAAACAGACUCUGAUGAGUGACUUAAUCUUCUCUGAGUCUCAUCUGUAAAAAGGACACAAUAAAACCCACCACAGAGCAUGGCUGAGAGAAUGAAAUAAGAAAAUGUUCAAGGGCCUGUGUUGUGGUACAGUGGGUUAAGCCACUGCCUACAAAGCUGGCAUACCAUAUGAGUGCCAGUUCAAGUCCCAGCUUCUUCACUUCUGGUCUAACUCUCUGCUAACGUGCCUGCGGAGGCAGCAGAUGAUGGUCCAAGUACUAGUGCCCCUGCUAGCCAUGUAGGAGACCCAGAUGGAGUUCCAGGCUCCUGCCUUUGGCCUAGCCUAGCACUGGUCAUUGCAGCCAUUUGGAGAUUUAACCCAAAUAUGGAAGAUCUCUAUCCAUCUCUCCUUCUUUCUAACUCUGGCUUUCAAAUAAAUAAAUAAAUCUUUUAAAAAAGAAAGCUCGAAGAAGAAAUACAUUAUUUAUGUUUGCAAUUGGAGACUGUUACGCUUAGUGAAAUAAGCCAGUCCCAAACAGGCAAUAUCAUGUUUUCCUUGAUUUAUGGUAACUAAUAUACAAGAUACAAAUAUGUAAUACAUUUGAGCAAAAUUGACACUUUGAAAUUUGAUUAUUGUUUACAGCUCUUGUCUAUAUUAUUGUGGAACAGCUUUUUUUCUGCUUACCACUUCUGGAGUUAUUUAUUUAGUGGAAGGUUAAUCUGUGACUAUAAAGUACAUUAAAAGUAUGUCAUUGUAAAAACUAAAAGAAAAAUAAGAAAAGAUGGAGGGUGGAUGUAUGAGAGGGAGGGAGGAAGGGUAGCAUGAGAGGUAUCAUUAUGCUCUUAAAACUGUAUAUGUGAAAUACAUGAAAUUGGUUCCCUUUAUAUAAAUAAUUAUCUCAAAGCAGAAAAUUUGCACUACUAAACACAGUGCCUGACACAUAGUAAGUGCUUGAUAAAUUAUAACAAGAAUAUGAUGGAAGUUCUAUUUAAAAAUCCCAUAAGACUCUAUAUAUUCUCUCAAUUCCUGGUACAUUAAAAUGAUAGCUCAUGUGUGGAUAUGACCCAAGCCAGUAUUACAGUUAUGCUCCUCUGAUGAUUCCCACCUAGCCAAGAGAUAGCUGGUGCCUAUCACAGAGAAAGAGGUAGAGACACAUCAUGAGGUUUUCCUCUGCUGCUUCACUCCUCACAUGCCCACAAGGGCCAAGGCUAGGCCAGGCCAAAUCCAGGAGCUUUAUCCAAGUCUCCCAAGUGGGUGGCAGAGGUCUGAGUACAUGUGCCAUCCUCCACUGCUUUCCCAGGCACAUUAGCAGGAAGCUGGGUCAGAAGUGAAGCCCAGCAUGGGCUGAAACUGUUGGUCAUAUGGGAUGCCAGCAUAGGGAUUAACCUAGUUCCUAUCUUUCAGAUGCUGUAAACUAACCUUUAUCUUUUAGCUUUACCUAGAUUAGCAUAAUAUUCUUUAAUAUCUGCCAUUUAAAUCAGAGAUUUAUUAUUUACUUGUGGCAGUGAGAUUUUUAUGAGUCAAGAGGGAACCCAAAAAAACUUGGAUUGCCUGGCGGUAUGUGGGCCAUCUUCAGGGUCAGCCAAAUAACCUCUUCUUACCAUUGCUAUGAUUUUCACAGGCCUUGCAUAUAAUUUUAGAAUGCACCUAGUGACUAAAUUAGGAGACUACUCUACAGGGAGAGGGCUGAAGCUCUGAAGUUACUGACAGAAAAGCCAACAGGUCUUUUUGUUUCUGCCAGUUUUAUAGCCACUGCAAAAUUAGAAAGGGAUCCUGCAAGAUGACCCUGGGCUAUUCAACCAUCAGCCCAAGUCUAUGAUAUAGUGACUCCUUGAUGUGCUAGUUAUCACUCAUCAAUAAAACUGGAGUUCUAUUUAUCCGAAACUGGGAAAUAUCUGGGAAAUACCUCCGUUGGGUUCCUGACCACACAAACUGUCCUGAUGUCACAGAUAACUAUGAAAAACUAGAGUAGAGGCUACAAGGAACAAAGUCAGAGCCUCAGAAGAACAGUAAGUCCCUGUUCCUUAUACAAGUAGCCUUUAACAUAUGUGUAGAAAAAGGGAAUGAAAAGACAAGCUUAUUUUGGUACAAAAGCAUUUUGAAAUCAGUGCAUGGCUUUUCCGUAACAUGGAUUUUCAAUGAAUUUAUUGAAGACCCUUUGUAUUUGUUGGGCCAUCAAAGGGUCAUUUCCCUCACUACAAAAUCCAGAAAUCCAGGCUUCCUUAGGGCAAAGGGCAGGAGAGGUAUUCCAUCUGCCAUUUUCAUCUGUCUUUAUCUACCUGGCACUGAUUUGCCCUGAAAUUUAAGUGCCUGAACUCCUCCUCAACACUGUUAGCUAGCUGUACUUCUAGGAGUAUCCUGGAGGAUUUGUAUGCUAGGGUUUCGGAAUGUAAAUCACAGAUAUAGACUCUGGCUAACAUAAGCAGAAAAAGAAUUGGCUGCACAAUAAUUUACUGUAAGGUAUUUAGUACCUUACAAAAUUGGCAAGAAGAUGUAACAACCAGACUUUGCAGGAACCAAGGGAAAUCCAGCCAAAAUCCUUUCUAGAAAUGGACUGCAGAGAAUUUCACCAGUAUUCCUCAGCCACCAGCCACUUAUUAUAAAGGCACUGAACAUGACUCUUCCACAGUGCAGGAAUAAUUGUUAAGUGGCCAUGCCACUUAUUCCUUCAACAUUCAGAGCUUCAUGCUAGGAAUUCUGUGGCUCCAUGCUGGUCACAUGACAAUGCCCAACCACCAGAAGGCUGUCUGAGUGUAGCGUUGGUGUUGUGAAGUACAGAGUACCCCCUGCCAAAACUAAGCAGGAAAUGAAGAAGAAGACUCCAUGCAGCAACAAAGUGCUUGUUAGAACAAGUUACAGGUGGGAUGCCAGCCUGGGGCCCUGGGGCACUGAGCUGUCUGGGCAAAGUUAAAGCAAGAUUUACGCUACCCCUCAUGUAAGAACAGUAGCAGAGAUAAGCCUUUGUAGGUUUACAAAUCAUAAGGGAGCUGCAGAUUAAAACUUCUCUUACAACAUUUGUUUAUUAUUCUUUAGAAAUAGCCCUUAGGCCCUUUGCUGGCCUGUCCCACAUUACUAGAAAGGCUGAUUCGCACUUGGGCUUCAAGGCUGGAGAGUGGUGCUGAUUAGGCUCACAGCUUCACCCUGCAAGACAGCAAGGCUCAAUAAAGCAUCACUAUGGGUGUGUUGCCAUACAGUGGCUACAUGACAAUGGUUUCCUCCAUUUCUGUAGAAAAACAUUACCUCCCACCAAUCUUAGGUUUCUUUUCCCAAGGUGAAAAGAAUAUUUAUAGAUUCUAAGACGUCAAAAUAGGUAAUAUCCAUCACAGUCUACCACUUUAGCUAACAUUCUCCCAGAUCCUUCCUCUGUUCAUAACAUUUCCAAAAACAUUACUCCUAACAAGAUAACAUCCUCCCCAGGACAACCAAGAAGUCAACAUUUCAUGAGUGGGAAGCACAGUGAAGCCUCAUCUGCUAUUACAGGCAGUGCCCAUUCUUCUUACUGAUAUCCUGCCUCCUGGACCAAAUAAUAAAUUUGCCCACUAAAACACAUGAUAUGCACAUCAUAUAAGUAUGAGCUGGAAUGAGAUGACAGAAAAGGAAAGGAAGUACACACACACGCACACUACACUAAGGAAAGAAAUAUGGUCUGAGGCUCUGUUCCUUAUUUCUAUAACUGAGAGAGGGUAACUGGGAUUGCAGUUUAGGUUCUUUAUGGUGUAGAUUCUGAGAUGAUAUUUAACUGGCUGGAUAUUUGUUUAAGAGAGUUCUUGGGCUCAAGAUCUGUGAAAGGGUGAGGGAAAAACCAGAGAAGACAAAGGAAUGAGUUAGGUCCUAACGCUGGCCCAGCAGUCCUAGCCAGACCCAUGUGUACUUGAAAGACAGAACGACCAUUCAUUUGUCCUCAGCCAGGCAGAGAUGACCAGGUCUUCAAAAUCCUCCAUUGAUAAAUUACCGAAUAAAGGCCACCCAAGAAGUGGCAUGAACUUGAGUGAGGAAUCUGUCUACAGUAAAUCCAAUCCAUGAAAGCACUGAAAACUCAGAGAUUUCUGCAUGAUCUGGGGCCACAAUUCUUUCAUGGAAGGAUGAUCUGAGUGGUGCAUCAAGUGGCCACCAUAGCUAGUCUUUAUAUUUCUCUUCCUCUGUUUCUUAUUCUAUAUUGUCUUUAUCUUCAACAAGCACUUCAGCUAACUGGGAUCCUGCAUCCAGUGGAGAAACAAUGCAAAUUUUUAUUCCUUGGGUCGUAAUAUCCAAACUCACAUUAUAUUCUUCCCCUUCUUCCCCUUCUACAGCAGUAACUGAGACUCCAUAGGAUGCUCUACUGUUCUAUAAAGACUAUUAGAGGUGGUAAGAUAUGGCCAGUUAAAUCCCUGAAGCAUUAUAAAUGCAUUCUCUAACACCUCUAUAAUAAAUAGGUUUCUCUGUCAGAAGUAGUGUUGUUGGAGAUACCAGGACAUUUUAUAAAACAUUCACAGGUUUUAAAAUGGUAGCUCUUGCACAAUCCAGUGAGGAUCAAUCAUGACCUUUCUGAGGGUUAUGCCCAAAUUAAUCAACCUUCUUUUGUUUUUAAGAUUUUAUUUAUUUGAGAGCCAGAGUUACAGACAGAGGGAGAGAAAAAAAGAGAGAGAUAGGUCUUUCAUCUGCUGGUUCACUCCCCAAAUGGCUGCAACUGCCAGGGCUGGGCUGAUCCAAAGCCAAGAGCCAAGAGCUUCUUCCAGGUCUCCCACACAGGUGCAGGGGCCCAAGGAUUUGGGCCAUCUUCUGAUGCUUUCCCAGGGCAUAGCAGAGAGCUGAAUAGGAAGUGGAGCAGCCGGGACUCAAACCAGCGCCCAUAUGAGAUGCUAGCGCUGCAGGUGGAGGCUUAGCCUACUAUGCCACAGCACCCGGCUCCAUUAAUCAGCCUUCUAUAAGGGCUCAGGGAUCAUUAAUGAUGCCAGCAAUCUGGCUAACCAAUAGUGGCAGACCAUGUUGUUCAGCCCAUGUGGAGUUUAUCCUUAACCCUAACCCCAAGAGACCUCAUGGUCUUUUGUUCCUGUGUCAGUAAGCAAGCAUCAGGAUAGAUUAGGAAAGACUCCCUCACAUGUUGGUUCCUGGAUUAAAAGUUUUAUUUGCAAGAGAAAUACUUUAUUGAUAAUUCACAAAUCACGGAACUAAUUGUUGCUAUACUAUGUCAAUAUUUAAAUUAAUAGACACUGUUGUUUUUUUACGGCAGUUUUAGGUUCACACCAAAAUUGAGUAGAAAGUAUGGAGAGUUCCAACCCACCCUCUACUAGACCAACAUUAAGAUUUAGAAUAAUAUAUUUCUUCCUUGAGCUUUUUAAGAGGCAGUAUCGUACAAUGGCAAAGGGUAAGCCUUUCAAGUCAGACUACCUGGGUUUGAAUCUUUGCUCUAUCACUUACUAGCAAAUGUAACUUUUGAGCAAGUUACUGUCCUGUGCUUCAGUUUUCUCCUCUUUAAAGUAGGAAUGAUAAUUACAGUACUUAUGCCCAUAAUUGUAAGAGGUAUAUUCAUUUCCUAUUCUCUCCAGAAAGAAAAUAUUGAUUUCAAAUGAGCUCUAAUGUUCCAUCAAUUACAGAUACAUUUUUAUUUCAGAGAUGCUUAAUGGCUCUUGUUUUAGAAAUCAGGAAGACAUUGUGAGGACUUUUCAUGUGCUUAAAGAUAUUUCAACUAUUGUAACAUGUUUGAGUAUGACAUUUUUCCUCUCAAAUUUAACUUUAAAGACUCCAUCCCAACUAUUCUAGAAGCAAAGUUGAUGAAUCUAGAGUCAAUGAGGUUGAUGGGGAGAGGACAAAAGAAUUGGCUUUCUGCAGGAAUUAGUAACAGGAUCUUCAGGCAAGGUUGCAACAUUUUAUUAGAAAUAGAAGAGCUGUUUCAAGUGGCCAGGAAGAUUCAGUGGAAUGGUGAGUUUAUGCCCUGAAUUCUUCCACAUACUCCUAUUCUAAUCCAUAGGGCCUUAUUCUAUUUCACUAUCCCAGCUUUAAGAGAUGGUUAAUAAGAUUUUAAAGUCAACUGAUUUUGUAAUUUGGCAAACCACAGAAUCAAACUAUUUGUUUGACUUUUGGAUAUUCUAGCCCUCAGGCACCAGAAGAUAAGAUAUUUCUUUUUCCAUAGUCAGAGAAAAUACUUCUUCUUCAGACUGUGAGCCAAGAAUGUAGGAAUUUGGGUUACUCAAUCUCUUGAAAGAUAUCUAGUGCCACUAGAAGCAGCUGCCUGUGAUGGAUGGUCUCAUUAGCCCACCAUGAUGGGCUCCAAUUUUUACACCUUGUUCUUUGCCCCUCAAAGUUGACUUCUAUGUACUUCAUCAACCAGCUAACCUUAACCUUCCAGCUUCAGGCUGGUGCAGUCCAUGGGCUGCACAAGGAGGAGAUCAAAUGGAGAAAGAUAAGGAGGAAUUUAUUUCCUGACCCUCCCUACAAGGCUGUAAGUUAGCAGUGCAUAGAUUCUUUUACCAAAGUCUACCGCUCCUAUUGUAAGACCCCCUCUUGUAGCCACAGCAAUUGCUCUGUAUGGGUUUGGGUAACUGCUCUUUACUCUUGCUUUCUCAUGCCUAGAGUAAGGGACCUUGCAGUUCAAAUCCAUAAAGUGCUUCACCACCCUUUAACUCUGCCUACUAUAUUUUAAGCAGACCUUUUGUUAAGAUCUCAAAUGCUUCAUUUGUGUGUAUCAUUUGUUUCCAACUGAGAACCCAAAUAAUACAAACCCCAGUGCAUGGUUUUCAAAUUUCUAGGCUCUUCAUCAUAUUUUAAACCACUCAGUCCACCAAAGCCUUACCUUUAAUGAACAAUUCUAUUCCAGAUUACCAAGAAUUCUAGCUUAAUUGUAAGACUCCCAAAUAUGUGACAGGGGCUUCUAGAUUCCUAUCCUUGAAAAGAGACAAAACAUAACCAGAACACCACCACAAGUACCAUUGAUGUCAUUGCCACAGUUUACUCAACUGCCAUCAUCAGUGGAAGGAACACCACUGAACUUGAACCCCUCUGGCUAUUCAACGCCAACACAGUUGUGCCCUGUAUCCUCUAACUUUAUGACUUUUCAUUCUCUAAUCCAUUGGCACCAACAUUUUCACACAGUCAUAAACCAACCCUAGAAUUAGUGUCAACAUACAGCUCAGACUUUUUAUCCUGUUUGGACUCAGAACUCUGUUGCUUUUCUUGUUCCUCAUUCUUUCCACUGCUCCUCGUUCUAAGCAUUCCAGCAUAGUACAGCUCAUUCUGCUCCUGUUCUUAGACAACAGAGUGAAGCAUAGCUUUUGUAAGGAUUUAUGAGUCUGAUGCUUAUAUAAGAAUACUUUUAUUAUUCCUAUAGAGUUAUUAAGACCUCUUUGUUGGUUUCAUUCAAUAUUCAAAUUCCAGGACAAAGUUCUGCUCCUAUACAGAAGUCUAUCCAAAUAUUUGUGCAACACUCAAGCUUUAAGAUUUUUCAAUAGUCUUGGACACUGUUUUAUCAAGUAGUUGGAUAGUCAAAACAUCAACUUGUUUAUAGUUUUGCUAUAUAAAGAUGUUUUUAUGUAAAUGCUCUUCUUGACUCUUUGGUUCUAGAAAGAAUCAUUUAAAGAGUUUCUGUAAGCUAGAUAAACAUAAGACAAAUGGGCAUUAAUUGUAAUUAUUUGGGGGCAUUUAUCAAAGCUUGUCCCUCCUAAUUUUCUUUGUUGUGAUAAAGACAUUACUGUGAUUAUAUGGUAAAUUUUCAUAGAGGUUAGAACUGUUUAAAACCUUUGAAAGAGGCUUCAACAGCUUCCAUUCUGAUGUUCAACAUUGGAUCCUCUUGAAUGGAUUGGGAUUUCCCCCAUUUAAAUUCCCCAAAUCUUCAAAAAGGGUAUCACAAUAAACAAAGAUGGAGCAUGUGUAGAAGACCGAGGUUCAGGCUGGUGCCGUGGCUCACUUGGCUGGUCCUCCGCCUGAGGCACCGGCAUCCUGGGUUCUAGUCCCAGUUGGGGCACUGGGUACUAGUCUCGGUUGCUCCUCUUCCAGUCCAGCUCUCUGCUGUGGCCCGGGAAGGCAGUAGAGGAUGGCCCAAGUGCUUGGGUCCCUGCACCCACAUGGGAGACCAGGAGGAAGUACCCAGCUCCUGGCUUCGGACUGGUGUAGUGCUGGCUGUGACGGUCAUUGGAGAGUGAACCAACGGAAAGGAAGACCUUUCUUUCUGUCUCUCUCUCACUGUCUAUAACUCUCUCUCUCUGUCUCUCUCACUGUCUAACUCUGCCUGGCAAAAAAAAAAAAAAAAAGACAGACAGACAGAAAGACAGAAAGACAAGACAAGACAAGACCCAGGUUCAAAGACAAAGUCUACUGUUUAUAGAAAGGGGAGUGAUUCCAUCUAUACAAGGGGCUUAUGUUAAAGUUCUCCCUGAUCCAACAGCCAUUGUAAGCACUUUGAGAGUAAUCCAUAUGAGAAUGAACCAAAGAGCUACAACAGUGACAGUUCACCCUCAAAGUACCUUUGGUCCUACCUAACAAUAAGAAAGUUUGCUCCCAUCUCUUGCAGGAACACUGUGGCAGGCACAAGAAUCUGGACCAGCAACAUCUUUCUGCUAAGGCAACUAAGGAUGCAGUAAAUUCAGUAUUCAAAAAUGAGCCUAUUUGUACCAUUAACAGGUUAAGCAUAUUACCUUAGUUAAAUGUAGCUUAUAACCAUAAGAUAUUACCAUUACAGUGACUUCCUAGUACAUCUUGGAAGGAUAUUCCUGCUUUAUGAUUGGGUAACAUCCUCCUGGAUUAGUGAAUUAGUAAAGGCACCCCUGUGCUGACAGCAAGGUGUACCAAAGUUAAAUCCUUGAAGAGCAAAGGUAUUCAACUUAGUUUCUUUUCUGUUUCUCUUAUACCUGUCUUCCUAAAUCUGUGGUAUGAACAUUAUCUGCUGUGGAGACUUAAUUGUUUUUCAUUCAAUGAAUAUAUUUAAAGUUUUACCAGUAAGACCUCAUGAUUAGGUAUAAUAAGCACUAGACUGGGAAUGAAUAUACUAAGUUGAUUCCCAGACCUCAUAAAACUUUUAAUUAUCUAUGCAACUAUGGACAAACAAGUUACUUUCUUUAAACCUAGCUCUCAUCUAUAAAAUCAAUAAAAUGGAAAAAGCAAAGCCAUUCUUGACUACAACCCCGGAUUACUAUAAAGUCAAGUGGAAUAAUGCAUGUGAUAUUGCAUUGCAGAUUGGUUUAAACAAUGCAUAAAUGUGAGAGAUGACCUCAUUCAUCUUCAAAUUUUAACUGGUGAAUUUGGAAUUGGCAAACUCAUUUGAAAUAACAUUUCCCUGAGGAGUUCAGGGCCUCUCGAUCAUCAGUUCCCAAAGGUUUUUAAAGAGAGUCACAAGGCUAAAUCUCCACUGCCACAUUCAGAGUAUGAAAAGCCCAUUUAGCUGUCAUCCCCUGCUGUUGGCAGACUCUCAGGGAAUGCCAGCAAAACGUCUGAAAUUGGAACAGCAACCCACCAAGUACAUCCAAAUCUUUCAUCAAACUGUGCCUAGUUUAGAAGCAAUAUUAUGUUAACAUUACCCCCACCGUGGAUUAUUUCUAAUGAAACCAAUCUGCCAAGGUGAAAUGAGAGCAUGUGUCACAGAGAGGCAUAAUUGGGUUGACCUGAAAACUAAGUUUAAAAGUAAAUACCCUGUCAAUUAAAGAUGAGCAGAAAAAUUCCAGAAAAUAUCAAGACUCUUAACUCCUUUAAAUCUGUGCCCUAUCCCUUAAAGAAUAGUAUAAUCAAAUCUUUCAAAGUUUCUCAAUAUAGUUAGGAU